UUGCACUUCGCCCAACCUAGCAAAGUCACUCCUUGGCUAUUAUUUUUCACUCUAUUGUAAAUAGCAAGAGGCAGAUGAAAAGGUAAAAAAUAUGUUGGUUGGAAGAUACUUAUUCUCGCCUACCUAGGGUAAUCAAGAAUAGACAUCAGCUCCAGAUUUGAACCCUCUGGUGGAAUGCUGAUGAGGGGCUGGCCUGGGUGCAUUGUGCACGAAUGACUCUCUUAAAGCAAAGAUCAAAGUUGCUUUUCUAAAAUGGAACACUAAAAGGUGUGCUUCCUGAGGUUGACUUCAGAUCGAUGUGGAUGUACACUUGGACCAAGUUCUACAUUAGGAACACUUUAAGUGAUUGAUCUAGAG
rnacentral:lncRNA from 1 species